GGGUCAGUAGGUUGGUCGUGCCACCGGUACGUACUGGUCUCACUGAUUCCUCCUUCCUGAAGAACCGUAAUGCCAUUAAUUUGGUGUUGCGGGGAAACAGGACUGUUACUUUGAAAAAAUUAGAGUGUUUAAAGCAAGCUAACGCUUGAAUACAUUAGCAUGGAAUAAUGAAAUAGGACGAUCGAUCCUAUUUUGCUGGUUUCUAGGAUUGACGUA
rnacentral:rRNA from 1 species